GGUUAAGCGACUAAGCGUACACGGUGGAUGCCCUGGCAGUCAGAGGCGAUGAAGGACGUGCUAAUCUGCGAUAAGCGUCGGUAAGGUGAUAUGAACCGUUAUAACCGGCGAUUUCCGAAUGGGGAAACCCAGUGUGAUUCGUCACACUAUCAUUAACUGAAUCCAUAGGUUAAUGAGGCGAACCGGGGAACUGAAACAUCUAAGUACCCCGAGGAAAAGAAAUCAACCGAGAUUCCCCAGUAGCGGCGAGCGAACGGGGAGCAGCCCAGAGCCUGAAUCAGUGUGUGUGUUAGUGGAAGCGUCUGGAAAGGCGUGCGAUACAGGGUGACAGCCCCGUACACAAAAAUGCACAUAUUGUGAGCUCGAUGAGUAGGGCGGGACACGUGGUAUCCUGUCUGAAUAUGGGGACCAUCCUCCAAGGCUAAAUACUCCUGACUGACCGAUAGUGAACCAGUACCGUGAGGGAAAGGCGAAAAGAACCCCGGCGAGGGAGUGAAAAAGAACCUGAAACCGUGUACGUACAAGCAGUGGGAGCACGCUUAGGCGUGUGACUGCGUACCUUUUGUAUAAUGGGUCAGCGACUUAUAUUCUGUAGCAAGGUUAACCGAAUAGGGGAGCCGAAGGGAAACCGAGUCUUAACUGGGCGUUAAGUUGCAGGGUAUAGACCCGAAACCCGGUGAUCUAGCCAUGGGCAGGUUGAAGGUUGGGUAACACUAACUGGAGGACCGAACCGACUAAUGUUGAAAAAUUAGCGGAUGACUUGUGGCUGGGGGUGAAAGGCCAAUCAAACCGGGAGAUAGCUGGUUCUCCCCGAAAGCUAUUUAGGUAGCGCCUCGUGAAUUCAUCUCCGGGGGUAGAGCACUGUUUCGGCAAGGGGGUCAUCCCGACUUACCAACCCGAUGCAAACUGCGAAUACCGGAGAAUGUUAUCACGGGAGACACACGGCGGGUGCUAACGUCCGUCGUGAAGAGGGAAACAACCCAGACCGCCAGCUAAGGUCCCAAAGUCAUGGUUAAGUGGGAAACGAUGUGGGAAGGCCCAGACAGCCAGGAUGUUGGCUUAGAAGCAGCCAUCAUUUAAAGAAAGCGUAAUAGCUCACUGGUCGAGUCGGCCUGCGCGGAAGAUGUAACGGGGCUAAACCAUGCACCGAAGCUGCGGCAGCGACGCUGAUGCGUUGUUGGGUAGGGGAGCGUUCUGUAAGCCUGCGAAGGUGUGCUGUGAGGCAUGCUGGAGGUAUCAGAAGUGCGAAUGCUGACAUAAGUAACGAUAAAGCGGGUGAAAAGCCCGCUCGCCGGAAGACCAAGGGUUCCUGUCCAACGUUAAUCGGGGCAGGGUGAGUCGACCCCUAAGGCGAGGCCGAAAGGCGUAGUCGAUGGGAAACAGGUUAAUAUUCCUGUACUUGGUGUUACUGCGAAGGGGGGACGGAGAAGGCUAUGUUGGCCGGGCGACGGUUGUCCCGGUUUAAGCGUGUAGGCUGGUUUUCCAGGCAAAUCCGGAAAAUCAAGGCUGAGGCGUGAUGACGAGGCACUACGGUGCUGAAGCAACAAAUGCCCUGCUUCCAGGAAAAGCCUCUAAGCAUCAGGUAACAUCAAAUCGUACCCCAAACCGACACAGGUGGUCAGGUAGAGAAUACCAAGGCGCUUGAGAGAACUCGGGUGAAGGAACUAGGCAAAAUGGUGCCGUAACUUCGGGAGAAGGCACGCUGAUAUGUAGGUGAAGUCCCUCGCGGAUGGAGCUGAAAUCAGUCGAAGAUACCAGCUGGCUGCAACUGUUUAUUAAAAACACAGCACUGUGCAAACACGAAAGUGGACGUAUACGGUGUGACGCCUGCCCGGUGCCGGAAGGUUAAUUGAUGGGGUUAGCGCAAGCGAAGCUCUUGAUCGAAGCCCCGGUAAACGGCGGCCGUAACUAUAACGGUCCUAAGGUAGCGAAAUUCCUUGUCGGGUAAGUUCCGACCUGCACGAAUGGCGUAAUGAUGGCCAGGCUGUCUCCACCCGAGACUCAGUGAAAUUGAACUCGCUGUGAAGAUGCAGUGUACCCGCGGCAAGACGGAAAGACCCCGUGAACCUUUACUAUAGCUUGACACUGAACAUUGAGCCUUGAUGUGUAGGAUAGGUGGGAGGCUUUGAAGUGUGGACGCCAGUCUGCAUGGAGCCGACCUUGAAAUACCACCCUUUAAUGUUUGAUGUUCUAACGUUGACCCGUAAUCCGGGUUGCGGACAGUGUCUGGUGGGUAGUUUGACUGGGGCGGUCUCCUCCUAAAGAGUAACGGAGGAGCACGAAGGUUGGCUAAUCCUGGUCGGACAUCAGGAGGUUAGUGCAAUGGCAUAAGCCAGCUUGACUGCGAGCGUGACGGCGCGAGCAGGUGCGAAAGCAGGUCAUAGUGAUCCGGUGGUUCUGAAUGGAAGGGCCAUCGCUCAACGGAUAAAAGGUACUCCGGGGAUAACAGGCUGAUACCGCCCAAGAGUUCAUAUCGACGGCGGUGUUUGGCACCUCGAUGUCGGCUCAUCACAUCCUGGGGCUGAAGUAGGUCCCAAGGGUAUGGCUGUUCGCCAUUUAAAGUGGUACGCGAGCUGGGUUUAGAACGUCGUGAGACAGUUCGGUCCCUAUCUGCCGUGGGCGCUGGAGAACAUUUAAAGUGGUACGCGAGCUGGGUUUAGAACGUCGUGAGACAGUUCGGUCCCUAUCUCGCCGUGGGCGCUGGAGAUGAGGGGGGCUGCUCCUAGUACGAGAGGACCGGAGUGGACGCAUCACUGGUGUUCGGGUUGUCAUGCCAAUGGCACUGCCCGGUAGCUAAAUGCGGAAGAGAUAAGUGCUGAAAGCAUCUAAGCACGAAACUUGCCCCGAGAUGAGUUCUCCCUGACUCCUUGAGAGUCCUGAAGGAACGUUGAAGACGACGACGUUGAUAGGCCGGGUGUGUAAGCGCAGCGAUGCGUUGAGCUAACCGGUACUAAUGAACCGUGAGGCUUAACCUU
rnacentral:rRNA from 1 species